rnacentral:lncRNA from 1 species
CACAUGGAUCCGCUGUUGGAUCUUGCAAUAGCUAUGUCGAGGAUUGUGCAGAUGGAUAAAUAAAGAUUAGAGCACUUUAAGAUCUGCGCAGGAUGCAAUCCAAUGAUCUUUUCUUCAUCAAAUAAAGCAAAAUAACGAAUGGCUUAUGACAGAACAAGGAGAAAUUUUGUCUGCCCCAUACUAAGUCAUAGCUCAUGACAGAAUGAGUGUUUUCUAUCUACUAGUUUUUUUCGGCAC